rnacentral:lncRNA from 1 species
UUAGAGACUGGGGGACAAUGUUCGGGAGCGUUUUACCAACCCUCCUUUGGGCCGAAGACUCAACACCAGAAGGGCUGGAGAGACUGAUGGGCCGAAGCCCAUGAAAGUGUUGGAGGUGUUCGGGUCGACAUUUGAGCCCUCCGGGACCAUAGCUGAACCCGGUCUGGUGAUGUUCGGGGUCGGGUCUUUGAGUUCUUUGGGCCGAAGCCCAGAUUAGAUUAUAGGACCGUUUGGGCCUGCACAGUGGGCUCUCCUGCGUGCAGAGUCCGGGUACCUAUUCGUAUGCAUAUAAGGCAACUCCAAAGGUGGUAAUGAGAUUGGACUCUACUUGCACCUUUUAAGGAGAUUGUGUUGGAC